rnacentral:rRNA from 1 species
UACGUAGGGUGCAAGCGUUGUCCGGAAUUAUUGGGCGUAAAGAGCUUGUAGGUGGUUUGUCGCGUCUGCUGUGAAAAUCCGAGGCUCAACCUCGGACUUGCAGUGGGUACGGGCAGACUAGAGUGUGGUAGGGGAGACUGGAAUUCCUGGUGUAGCGGUGAAAUGCGCAGAUAUCAGGAGGAACACCGAUGGCGAAGGCAGGUCUCUGGGCCACUACUGACGCUGAGAAGCGAAAGCAUGGGGAGCGAACAGG